CAAUUGAUCUGGUGCUAACGUUUUUCUUUGUAAUACUAGAACUCGUGAAUAAUAAUUUUGUAUUCUAAUUUAUACAUAGCCCUGAAAAUUGGGAUUUCUCAGAUGUUUGCAACCUUCCAGACUCUUGCAAUUGCUGCAUCUAAUGUAUGCUCGAAGCCUUCAUUGCUGUGUUUUAGCUCUCCUUUACUGGCAUUCCCACCAUACACUAAAUAUCCCAGUUGUGGCUGCAGCAAUAGCUGCCUGAGUUGUGGGUUAUCAGUUCAGGCAACAUAUCUUAAGGACCUCAUGAAUAUUCCUUUUGUUUUGCAUUAAAAGUUUUACCAAAACUUGACUACAGGAAGAACGCUUAGACUUUGUGAUGAGAAUCCUGUAAGGCACCGUUAGAGAGCAGCAGAGGUCCACGGAAAAGCUUUUAAUUCAGCAGAAUAUAGACUGUGAGCUGGAACCUCAGGUGCAGCUGGGCCCUGGGCUGCGCAGCCAAGGAGAGAGGAAAGGAAUUAGUUUGCUCCCUGAUGCAGGAGCUGCUUGGGAAUUAUUCUGACCCUUGUUAUAAAUCAGGUGCUUAUCUUCUAUUUCUGCACAAGAAAUAUGAAAAUCAAGAAAAGCAGAUGUGCUAUCAACCUUUUAAGUUUCAUCCUGGAAAUGAGGUUGGAAUAUUCCAUAAGGAAAUCAAAGUCAUUUUCCUACCCUCUUCUGUCUCUGUAAGAAAUGCUCUGCCUAAGUCCUUCUCUGCUCUGCACUGGCAAUUCCUCUUCUGUUUCUUUAGGUGACUCCAGGCUGACAUCAUGUUUUUUCUCUCAACUUCAUGCGAGCCUCCCUUUCUAACCCUUCCAAGAGCAUUUUAGAACCUGUUUGCCCUGAAACCCUGAAAUCAGAGAACACUGAGGGAUUAGGUUUAAACUUGUUAAACUGAAUUAACACUCCUGCCACAUGAUUCUGGCCUGUGCCAGUCCUUUUAAUCUUGUUCAGAGUUUAGGAUAAUUUGUUUAGUAGGGCUGAUCAGCUGGAGGUUAAUUCAAUUGGACUUUGGUUAUUUAUUCAUGCCCGGAUUUGCUAAGUGUCACAGCAGAUACACGAGGUCUCUGUUACAGUUAUGAGAUGGCUUCAUUAGUGUGACGGAGAGUCCAUCUGGAUAACUUCCUUUCCUCAGUGCAAUAACUGGCUGUCAGGGCUCUCUCCAGUGGAAAAAACUCCUUAUAUAACAUCUCCCUUUCAUUUGUGUCACAAGUGUAUUGAUCACAACUUAAAAUGCAUUCCUCUGUUCCAAUUGCUGGGAUUGCCAAUAAACUUUCUCAGGGAUCUCA
rnacentral:lncRNA from 1 species